UCUAUUAACCAAAGAGAAAAAGUUGACUCACUGAUUUCCCAAACAUCUGCCUAACAUAUUUAAAACUUUAAAAAACUUAAAUGAAAUAAAAUGUAGUUCUACCUACAAAAUCUAAAAUUCUAAAAUCUGGUUCUACCAAUCUAUCUACCCUAGUACAAAAAGUAGACAGCUUCGAAAUUACAGUGCCAAAUCUGUGGAAAUUUGUGAUUUAUUUGGUUGUUCUUUUAUUCUGCGGGAGGUUGAAAGGAAAGGAGGUGGCAUAUUUUUCAGCAGCAGGCUGGAGUCCAUCCGGGUUGCCUAUUGCUCAGUGACCUGCCUUGCUGCAGAGCCACAGGAAACUAUACACUCCUCGAAGGGCAGCCCAUCAUCACUUCAAGUCACCAUCCAAAUGGUGAACUUCACCCUCAUCCCAGGAUGACUUAUUCAACUCCUUCCUAAGAAUGAAACUUGAGAGGAGAAGAAUAAAUGGUAUCAGGGCAGGGCGCAGAUGCUCUCUAGUAACAUCUCCUUUAUUUUCUGCCUUUACAACAAAUAGGACAAAAGCAAAGAUGAUUUUUAGGUAAAGGAGAAGAUGUAUCCUCCCUCAGGAAAUAGCAAAAUGGUCUAAGUCUCUUUGGAUAUUUCAUGUGCCCUACCUAACUUUCAGGGUAGUAUCUCCUUUAAGGACCUGCCUACCAAAUAUAGCAUUCAAAACAAUGCACACACUUAAUAAAUAAAUAUUAGACAGUGAUUAUCAUCACUCGAAUUUUAAACAAAGCUAUUUGUUUUUUGUUUUCUUUUUUAUCUACAUAUAACUUUUUAGUUCACUUACACAGUUAUGGGGAUUUCUGGAGGCAGUUUGAACUGCACAUAAUAAACAAAGCUAUUUGUAAAGCCCGCUGACAUGAAAACAGCAUGCUAGAAGUGCCAAAUCAACUUUAAUGUAGUUGCAAUCAUACCGCUUCCUUUGUCAACAUGUAACAAUCCACUGACAAUAAGCUGGGAACUGACCUCUGCUGCAGUGUAGGGUUCCUGAGUAGCCUUUACAGAUUCAACUAAUGGUGUGUUACUCCAACUUUUUUACUAUGGAAUUUUCUUCUAAUUAGAAUAGGAACUUUGAAUCGUUUAAAUGCUAUUAUACAUAAAUAGUAUAUAAAGAAGUUAUGUGAAAAAUCAGAGAGACAGAAAGCUUAACUUUUUAAAACCCUGAGUUGUGCUUAUUAGCAAAACACAGAUUGUAAGUAGUAUGCAACUAAACACAGAAACCUGAUACAAGAAUGACAAAUAACCCUUUAUAGACACACAAAGAAGCAAAUAAAACACAGUUCCAUCAUACAAUGGUGGAGACACUUCUUUUUUGUUCCACUUUCACAGGAGCAGCAAAUUAACUCGUUGAAAACAGAAGCACUACUGAAUAAACUCCAGCUGUCUUUUGCACCCAGAAAUCCUUUCUACCCUCACAUAUAAUGAUCCUUUCACCAUUUUCCAAAGUUUGGGACAUGGCAUAUUUGAUAAAUGCAUCUUGUCUGAUGUGACAGUUACCAUAGUAACCAUUCUUUUUUACUUAAUUAUGUCAUGUCAAGUCAUCUAGAUUAUGCACCCACAUUCUAUCUUUUCUCCUUGGUGUCUCCUUCACACACUCCUUUACAUAUCAGUUCCCAUAAAUUAACAUGAAUUUUGUUCAUCCAAAUUCAUUCUGAAUUCAAUUGCUAACUGAGUAAAAUUUGAAAAAGGCUUCACAAUGCUUGAUAAUGAUUAUAAAUAUAAGUAUUCACUUCAGCAGGAAGCACAGACAAGAUGUAAAGUCCUGGAAAAAGAAGCUGUUCAUGAAUGGCUUACGGACCCUGCACCUAUAGGCCUGCAUCAUAUCCUUGCCACACAUGAAUUUUUGAUAAUAUAAGUCAUUCAUCAAAGGAAAAACAGAGAACAUGAUCUCAGGAUAAAAGAAGUUCAUUAACUAAUAAGCCUUCCACUAAUCAUUAAAGUUGUUUUUAUUAGGGAAAACAAAUUGAUGGUGAUCCAGUCAAGGGAAAAAACAGUAUUUUAUUCAUCUUUGAAUGCCUGACAAAGAGUCAAAAUUUGUUGAAGAACAGCAAGCGUUUUCCAGAACAAGAGCUGCAUCUGUAGUCAGUGACCAUGGGAAAGGAAAAUGCCAGCUGGACUACUCAGAAACUGAAACUGAAGAGAGAACUGGUUAACAGGUUCUCCCUGAGACUUCAAAUAGAAAGCUCUGAGGAACCAAAGGAGGCAAAAAUCAAUGAAAAGUUCCAAAUGCUGAUAGUCUAUCCUUCAGUGCUGUUGCUGUUUCUAAGGAAGAGUAAGACUACAUGGAAUAAGGAGAUUAAAAGGAUAACAGAAAUACAAGGGAGAAAAAUGAGGAGAGGUAUGUGGACUGGAGUUAGCUUCACAAACCCAAGGGAAAUUUCAUUUGAAAGAUUUACAAAUACUACUUCUCAUCACAGAGUAAGACAAUGCUUGCCCAAGAUCCCAGUUCUCAAUCUGUGCUCUAUUCACUUUUUAUUCCUCAUUCCUCAUUAUCCCUCAAUUCCAGUCCAAGUAAGAAAAUGAAAGUUGGCACCAUAAGAGCAAGAACCCACAAUUCUACGUAUACUAUAUGGCCAUGGAAGAAAACUGCUACCAAAAUAAAAAGUACCACCUUACUA